rnacentral:rRNA from 1 species
UACGGAGGGGCUAGCGUUGUUCGGAAUUACUGGGCGUAAAGCGCACGUAGGCGGCUUUGUAAGUUAGAGGUGAAAGCCCGGGGCUCAACUCCGGAAUUGCCUUUAAGACUGCAUCGCUAGAAUUGUGGAGAGGUAAGUGGAAUUCCGAGUGUAGAGGUGAAAUUCGUAGAUAUUCGGAAGAACACCAGUGGCGAAGGCGACUUACUGGCCCGAUACUGACGCUGAGGCGGCGAAAAGCUAGGGGAGCAAACGGG